AGCUUUGUGCAGUGGCAGUAUCAUAGCCAAGGAGAUUUAUCCGAGGGAAGAUUAUUGCUAAUUGGGAAAAAAAGGCAAAAAAUGUAUAAAAUGAUAAAAUUAUACUGAAGUGGCAAGUUUUAAAUGUUUUUUAAAG
rnacentral:snRNA from 1 species